UGGAUCCAGACUUUGAUCCUGGCUCAGGAUGAACGCUGGCGGCGUGCCUAAUACAUGCAAGUCGAACGAAACUUCUUUAUCACCGAGUGCUUGCACUCACCGAUAAAGAGUUGAGUGGCGAACGGGUGAGUAACACGUGGGCAACCUGCCCAAAAGAGGGGGAUAACACUUGGAAACAGGUGCUAAUACCGCAUAACCAUAGUUACCGCAUGGUAACUAUGUAAAAGGUGGCUAUGCUACCGCUUUUGGAUGGGCCCGCGGCGCAUUAGCUGGUUGGUGGGGUAAAGGCUUACCAAGGCAAUGAUGCGUAGCCGAACUGAGAGGUUGAUCGGCCACAUUGGGACUGAGACACGGCCCAAACUCCUACGGGAGGCAGCAGUAGGGAAUCUUCCACAAUGGGCGAAAGCCUGAUGGAGCAACGCCGCGUGGGUGAAGAAGGUCUUCGGAUCGUAAAACCCUGUUGUUAGAGAAGAAAGUGCGUGAGAGUAACUGUUCACGUUUCGACGGUAUCUAACCAGAAAGCCACGGCUAACUACGUGCCAGCAGCCGCGGUAAUACGUAGGUGGCAAGCGUUAUCCGGAUUUAUUGGGCGUAAAGGGAACGCAGGCGGUCUUUUAAGUCUGAUGUGAAAGCCUUCGGCUUAACCGGAGUAGUGCAUUGGAAACUGGGAGACUUGAGUGCAGAAGAGGAGAGUGGAACUCCAUGUGUAGCGGUGAAAUGCGUAGAUAUAUGGAAGAACACCAGUGGCGAAAGCGGCUCUCUGGUCUGUAACUGACGCUGAGGUUCGAAAGCGUGGGUAGCAAACAGGAUUAGAUACCCUGGUAGUCCACGCCGUAAACGAUGAAUGCUAAGUGUUGGAGGGUUUCCGCCCUUCAGUGCUGCAGCUAACACAAUAAGCAUUCCGCCUGGGGAGUACGACCGCAAGGUUGCAACUCAAAUGAAUUGACGGA
rnacentral:rRNA from 1 species